rnacentral:lncRNA from 1 species
UUGAAGGGGUAUUAAUGUUUCUCACUUGAAAAAGACUUUUUGCUCUUCAGGGGUAAAAUUAUAAUUUUACCAAAAUCCUAAUUUGAAAGUAUCAAAUGAUAGAACAAAAGAUUUGUGAUCCACUGGUGAAAAUUUUAUUGAUUUUGGACUUGUAUUUUGAAAGAUAUGCAUGAUUGAAAAUCAUGAGUCGACCCAUGAGUCGACUCAUGGCACAU